CCUACGGGCGGCAGCAGUGAGGAAUAUUGGUCAAUGGCCGCAGGGCUGAACCAGCCAAGUCGCGUGAGGGAUGACGGUCCUAUGGAUUGUAAACCUCUUUUGUCAGGGAGCAAAGGGCGCCACGUGUGGCGUUUUGCGAGUACCUGAAGAAAAAGCAUCGGCUAACUCCGUGCCAGCAGCCGGGGUAAUACGGAGGAUGCGAGCGUUAUCCGGAUUUAUUGGGUUUAGAGGGUGCGAAGGCUGAAUGUCAAGUCAGCGGUAAAAUUUCGGGGCUCAACCCCGUCGUGCCGUUGAAACGCGCGUUCUUGAGUGAGCGAGAGGUAUGCGGAAUGCGUGGUGUAGCAGUGAAAUGCGUAGAUAUCGCGCAGAACUCCGAUUGCGAAGGCAGCAUACCGGUGCUCAACUGACGCUCAUGCACGAAGGCGUGGGUAUCGAACAGGAUUAGAUACCCGGGUAGUC
rnacentral:rRNA from 1 species